rnacentral:rRNA from 1 species
GAUGAACGCUAGCGUCAGGCCUAAUACAUGCAAGACGAACGGUAAGUAUUUUAGCAAUAAGAUACCCAGAGUGUCGUAAGGGUGCGUAACACGUAUGCAAUCUGCCCGCAACAGGGGAAUAGCUCGGGGAAACUCGAAUUAACACCCCAUAAGAAGGAGGAGUGGCAUCACUUUUCUUUUAAAACUCCGGUGGUUGCGGAUGAGAAUGCGCAUGAUUAGCUAGUUGGCGGGGUAAAGGCCCACCAAGGCGAUGAUCAUUAGGGGAACUGAGCGGUUGAUCCCCCACACUGGCACUGAGAUACGGUCCAGACUCCUACGGGAGGCAGCAGUAGGGAAUAAUGGACGAUGGAUGCACGUCUGAUCCAGCCAUGCCGCGUGCAGGAAGAAGGCCUUCUGGGUUGUAAACUGCUUUUGCCAGAGGAUAAAAAGUCCCUGCGGGGAAAAUUGAAGGUACCUGGUGAAUAAGCCACGGCUAACUACGUGCCAGCCGCCGCAGUAACAC